CAAAAUUAAGAAGAAUGGCGCGCACACACACACAUACACACAAAAAACGAAAGUAGACUAAAUAAUGUAAUGUAGGUAGGCCGUGAAUGGCCUCACACACCAGUACAGUAGGUGGCGGUAUAUGCGAACUGCCAACCACAUCCUAAAGAAGAAGAAGAAGAACAGACGUAAACAAAGAGCACGUCGCACAGAUUCAUUCAAACGAGAGCAGGUCCACUGACGGUUCAACCACAGCGUCAGAAAUGCCGAUAUGGAGGUGCACUACAAGCAGAAAUACAAAAAUCUCAAACGCAAAUUGAAAUUCAUGGUUUAUGAGCAGGAGUGUUUUCAGGAAGGGCUCAGAAGAUCCCAGAGGAAGCUGCUCAAAGUGUCCAGAGAUAAAAGUUUUCUGUUGGACCGAUUGUUACAAUACGAGCAGGUGGACGAGGACUCCUCAAAUUCUAAUGCCACAGCCUCUUCUGAGAACAGUGAAGGAGAGGGCACCAGGGAGAGAGACGGAGGAAAGAAGAGAAGUAGCCCUGGUGUAGGCCUUCCUUCAUCCUCCCAUCUCUCUCUCUCUCUCGUUCUGGAGUGAAUCCUCUCCAGUCGUCCGGCAGUACCCCCUACCUCAACACAUUUCCAGCGUAUUUGGCUCCACCAGCUGGGAGAAUGAAGAAAGAGAGAAUGACAAAGGCGCCCAAACACAAGAAAGAGACAUCGGGGAAGCGCCUCGUUCAACUGGGUGCCCAGGCAGAUGCUGAGUGGAGAUGCGGCAGAGGAGGAGGGAGAGAGUGACAGAGACUCAGACGGAGGAGACGACGACAGGGGGGAAGGAGAAGAGGCUGACCUUGUCAUCGAUAUCCCCAACGAGUGAAGUGUGUGUGUGUGUGUGUGUGUGUGUGUGUGUGUGUGUGUGUAAAGGAUUGUUUGAAAGAGUGUGUAAGACCAUAAUGUGAGUCUGGAUUCAACCCCUCCCACUGUCAAAUGCUUAGCCAAGCUCCCCCCAUUGGACCUUCAGGUUACUGCAACAAUAUUUCUCUCUCACAAUGUGUUACUAAUCGACUCCUUUAAUGUCAUUUUACUGCCUUCUACUGUUAUACAAGUCAUGGAAGAAAUGGUAUUGAAGGCAUGGACAGCAACAGGACUGUAUACAUGUAGCACCUACCUUUUUAUACAAAACUGUCAAAUUAGGAAUUUUCUGUUGGAGAUAAUGGAGAUGUUAUGUUUUCUACCAAUGACUUUCCAAAAUUAAAUUGCAUUAAAGUGGUAACAUUUCA